rnacentral:rRNA from 1 species
ACGCGAGUAGGCCGCAGAGAAUAGUCUCAAGCGACUGUUUAGCAAAAACACAGGUCUAUGCUAAAUCGAAAGAUGAUGUAUAUGGGCUGACGCCUGCCCGGUGCUGGAAGGUUAAGGGGAAGUGUUAGAGCAAUCGAAGCACUGAACUUAAGCCCCAGUAAACGGCGGCCGUAACUAUAACGGUCCUAAGGUAGCGAAAUUCCUUGUCAGGUAAGUUCUGACCCGCACGAAUGGCGUAACGACUUGAGAGCUGUCUCAACAACAUACCCGGCGAAAUUGAAGUACUGGUAAAGAUGCCAGUUACCCGUGAUAAGACGGAAAGACCCCAUGGAGCUUUACUGUAACUUGAUAUUGAAUUUUUGUAUUACAUGUACAGGAUAGGUGGGAGACAGAGAACUAAUGCCGCCAGGUGUUAGGGAGUCGAUGUUGGGAUACCACUCUUGUAAUAUGAAGGUUCUAACCUGCACCCGUGAAUCCGGGUGGGGGACACUGUCAGGUGGACAGUUUGACUGGGGCGGUCGCCUCCUAAAAGGUAACGGAGGCGUUCAAAGGUUGGUUCAGCACGGACGGAAAUCGUGCAACGAGUGCAAACGCAUAAACCAGCCUAACUGCGAGACCGACAAGUCGAGCAGUAACGAAAGUUGGAGUUAGUGAUCCGGCGGUAUGAGAGUGGAAUUGCCGUCGCUCAACGGAUAAAAGCUACCCUGGGGAUAACAGGCUGAUCUCCCCCAAGAGUCCACAUCGACGGGGAGGUUUGGCACCUCGAUGUCGGCUCAUCGCAUCCUGGAGCUGUAGUCGGUUCCAAGGGUUGGGCUGUUCGCCCAUUAAAGCGGUACGCGAGCUGGGUUCAGAACGUCGCGAGACAGUUCGGUCCCUAUCUAUCACGGGCGUAGGAAAUUUGAGGAGAGCUGACCUUAGUACGAGAGGACCGGGUUGGACGUACCGCUGGUGCACCUGUUGUUCUGCCAAGGGCAUAGCAGGGUAGCUAAGUACGGACGGGAUAAACGCUGAAGGCAUCUAAGCGUGAAGCCCCCUUCGAGAUAAGAUUUCCCAUAGCGUAGGCUAGUAAGGACCCAUGAAGACUACAUGGUUGAUAGGUCGGAGGUGGAAGUGCAGUAAUGUAUGUAGCUGACCGGUACUAAUAGUCCGAGGGCUUGACCAA